rnacentral:misc_RNA from 1 species
UUGUAUAACGGAGAUGCCCAGGGCUGUCGCUGACCCUUUGUGGGUCGUGCACGCCCAAAAGCAUUCUCUUUUGUGUCCCAUCCUUCACCCCUUUGUGCAUCACCGCGUGGGCUUCCCUAUCAGGAUUGUUCUGUCCUGAGUGGGGAGUUCACGUCUUUACACAGACACCUUUUCUUUUAUUGCAUGUGUAGAAUGUAUUACUUUUUCUUUGCGAUCAAUA